rnacentral:lncRNA from 1 species
GGUCGAUCGACCUCUGAUCGACGCCUUUAGCACAACUCUGUUCUUGUUAGUCGGAGACUGAGAUUCUCUAGCAUCAACAGUGUAUGCAAAACAUCCUUGACAUCCCACGUUUUAGGCGAACGGUGGGCUAUACGUCUCCGGCAUCUCGUGCUUUCGACGUCUCUGUGGUAAUCGACCGACUCUCUUUGGGCUCCUGUCUCUGGUGGAUUUGUGAUCCGUGGCCCAAUUAUUUGUGUGGACUGAGUUAUUUAAG